rnacentral:lncRNA from 1 species
GAAAGAAAAGGAAAAUGUGCUCCAUAAAAAUGCAAAUUUAGCUGGACUUGAUGGCCAAGGCUAGUGAUGCCACCUUACUCAGGAGGCUGAGGCUGGAGGAUCACAGGUUUAAGGCCUAUCUGGGCUUCAGAGUGAAUUCAGGACAAGCCUGGGAAACUUAGUAAACCUUUGUCUCAAAAAAAAAAAAAAAAAAAAAAAAAAAAAAAAAAAAAAGGGAAGGUUGGGAAUGUGGCUCGGCAGUAGAACACUUUCCUAAUGCGAGUAGAGCCAUAGGUUCCAUCCUGAGUAGGAGUUUAGGAGGUGGAAGGCAGAUGCAUCCAACCAGCUCCUGACCAAAGACAGAAUGUGUGGUGGGGUAGAAAGCCCCGUGUACAACACAGAGCUUUGAGCCUUGCCUCACCUAUUGACAGUGGUCUAGCUUUCAGUUCUUAGGGUAUCACAUUCUGAAUGUACACCAAGGGCUUGCUUAGUGCUACUGUGUGGUGAAGAUAUAGCUGAAAAGUCUCCAGUGCUCUUGACGAUGAAGGGGGUGUGGCUUGAAUGGCUCCCAUUUCUCACUAGCCCUGUGCCCUUGAUGACUAAGGAAAGAUGUCUGGUGGAUGACAACCUUACCAGUAGUGGUCAAGGCAUAGCGUGGACAGGCAGAGGAGGCAGAGAGAUGGGCAUAGGUUGGGGGUCUACAAUGAGGUAACAGCAGACUUGGGGGGUGUCUGCGGGGGAGAGGUCUGCUGGGGUAAGGAUGUCUCAUGGUGAUCUGCCCUUUCUGGAUGCUCUCAGCUGUUGACUGCCAGCCAGGCAGGCAGUCAACAGUCUUCCUUCACCCGUGGCUUCAUCUGGUGCUUCUGUUGUUAUAGCCCGAUGCCUCUAGCCACACACUUGCCCUCUUCACAGAGGAGAUUGGCUUUAUCUUAGUGUGAAGUGGCUUUUGUUUUCUUCUCUUGCUUUACUCUGGAGGUUUUGUGACUUUAAGUGUCUGGAAUCAGUGUGGCGCACACUAUUGACCCUCGCUCUGUGGGUGCCCACUGGCCAUGGGGAGUCUAGGGGCUGGUGGCAGCUGCUGGCUCUUGCUAAGCCUUCCCCAAACUACAUGCUGGGUAUUAAAUUCGCAGAGUUCUUCCUUCCAUUUCCUCUCAUCAUGGGGUCAGCUCAGACUCAGGCCCCUCCCCAUCCUUCCGGAAGGCUUGAUCCAUCCAUCGAUCUUCCCAGCACCUAAUUGACAGGCAUAUGCAGAGAAGACUCUGGGCUCUUUGCCUUCAGGGCUGAAAUGGUCACGUGUAGCUGGUACUGAUGUUCUGGUGGUCCUUGCUAUCUCUUUUCUGUGCUGCUUGGAGGUAGUAUACACUAAAGUGCUAACAGAUGUGCCAGAGAAAAUGGUCUUGGGAUAGGUGCCUUAUGGGCCAGAGGUCAGGAGAUUCUUCCAGGGUCUCUUGGUAGGUCCUAAGAGAUGUGCUCAAAGCUCCAACGUCAAUUUACCCAUUUUAGAAAUGUGCAUGGAUUCAUCAGUCUUAAAAAUUAUUUUACUUACUUAUUGUGUGUGUGUAUGUGUGUGCCUUGGAGAAGAUAGAUAUAGAGUUCAGAGGACAGCUUGCUGGGGUCAGUUUUGUCCUUCUACCAUGUGGGCUUUGGGGAUUGAACUCUGGCCCUCAAUCUUGCUGGCAGAGGCACUUAUCCUCUGAGCUAUGGCUCCAGCCUGUCUCAUCAGUCUUAGCAGACCUCUUCCAGAGUUUGGAACAGCCUGGAGGUUCUGUCUCCUUUUGACUAUCUGCAAGGUUUCUGGCAUAGGGGAGCAGCUGGCCAAGUCAGUGCCGGGUUUGAGGGGGGCAUGGGUCUGACAUAUUCUCUGACACCGUAGCUUGAAGUCACAGUGUAAGAAAUUCCUUCAAUGUCUGUUGAUGGAGAGGAGCCUGCUUUCUUUUACACCAGUAGAUGGGGGUGAGGCCCAGAGCACCUUUUUGUAGGAUGUAAGGGUUAUGGGAAGCUGUGCCUUUUCACACAGGCCUGCAACCCCAGCUAUUUAGGAAGCCAAGGCAGAAGAAUCAAAAGUCCAAAACCUGCCUGGGCUACAGAGUGAGUUCAAGACCAGUCUGGACAAUUUAGGCAGACCCUGUUUCAAAGCCAAGUGAACCGAGGCCUGAAGAUGCAGUUCAGUGGUGGGACACUUGCUUAGCAUGUGUGUGAGUGUGGGGGACACACAGACCCCAGGCUGGGAAUCGAACUCACAUCCUCUGCAUGUGCUUUGAACCACUGGGCCAUCUUCCCAGCCCCACAGUACAAUUCUAUCAUCUAUCGAGUCAAUAUUCUAAUUUCUCCAGCCUCAUAAAAGGUUUUCUGAGUCGAGAUUCAGACAAUCAGGUGAGACGGAUGUACUUCUCAAAUCUACAUUUUUUUCCGAAUUCUUUUUAUUACAACUUAUUUAUUGAAGGAACGAGCCUUUUCUGCCUCCUUUGUCUGCCACCACAGGGCCUUGCCUACACUAAGCAGGUGCUUUACCAUAGAACCAUAACCUUGCUUGGCUUGUUUGUGACAGUUCCCACAGUGAGGGCUUUGUGGUCUGUAAUCCUGGUGUUGUUUGCUGAGCUCUCCCACCUGACGGGUUAUCAGUGAGUUAUCAUACAGAUCUAGGCUACAGACUCUGUCUGGGUUCAGUUUGGUGAACCCUGAGGCGCUUGCCUGACUGAACCGCUGGAGGUAUCUGCUAUCUAUUUUGGUGAGCUAGCAGCUAUGGGUUCCUGAGCUUUGGACCUGGUGUCCAGGAGGAGACUUGAUUUGGACACAGCCCUGUGAGGAACUGGCUGAUGUAAGGUCUGAUCCUGUGAGGUGUCCAGGAGCCUGGGCCUCCCAGCCCCAGUGUUCCCAAGCUGGAAGAGGUACAGGGCAGGAAGCCCUGAAGAUAUGGAAGCUUGUUCUUGUCCUGGGAUGUGGCUGGGGCCUUCUGCUUCUGGAGGGCCGGUCUCCUGCUUCUUUACAUCUGAGGUUUAGAUGCCACCUGCUUGGUUAGCUGUUCUUGUUUCAAAGAACAAAGAUCUCCUUUUAACCAAUUUCCCAUGAUUAGUUUCUCAGAGCGCUUGAGAGUCAGGCCCUUGGAGUCUAGUGGACAGAACCCAAGGCAUAAAUGAAUUGAUUUGAUUUCUCUUGAGCUACUGUUUAGUUUUGAGACGGAGUCUCACUCUGUAGCCUAGGGUGGUUUGAACUCUCAACCCUCCUGCCUCAGGCUCUUGAAUAUUGAUAUUAAGUGUGUGCAUCACCACCACAAGCUUGGGAGCAAUUCGUUUUCUGUCCCAUUUUGUGUCCUUGCUUCUAGUUCAUAUCUGGGAGUUUGAAAGAGUCACGGAAAAUCAAGCCUUUUACCCAUAGUGAAAAGCCCUGUGUCCCCAUGGUUUUUCAUGGGUUCUCAGAGGAAAGCCAACAGCAGCCUAACCUCCUCCCACCAUGUCCCAUGAUCCUUUUUCUGCUGCAGAGUCCUUCAUUCUGUCCCUGGAACGUACCAGCAUGUUCUUGCCCCAGGCCCUUUGCACCUGCUGUUCGUGACUUAAUUGACUGUUACUUUCUCCACUGUACUCCUGAACCAUCUCCCGCCACAGCUCCCAUGGCCAGGUAGUCGAAGCCUUCACUUCAGUUGCUCUUGCUUUGCUAUGAUUUACUUAUUUUGUCAUGCUCAUGUGAAGUGAUACCAAGUUCAUGCAAUAAAAGUUGUAUUUGCGGUUACUUUCUCUAGGAUGUGAAUGGAGACCAGUGGCUUUGCCAAUGCCACAUCUGAAUCUCCAUUGUCUGGAACAGGAGAUGUUCAGUGGAAUACUUGUUGAAUGAGUGGAGGGAUGCUAAAAGGCGGUUGUCUCCCCAAGUAAAAUGUGCUCAUAGCCUGGGUCUCCAACAGCCUGUCGAUCGUGCAGUACCAUUUUGAGGUGGGCUUCAAGGUACCCUCUUCUCAUCUGAGGCCAUUCUGUGAGAUCUCAAGGAGAAAGGCAAAGCAUGGCUCAUUUAUCUUCUCGUAAUUCUUCCGGUUCCUUUCCUGCCUGUGUAUCAUGUUGGGACCUAUAGGCAUGAGAAACUGGGAUCAGCCCUGACUGUCCCUAGGCUGGGCAGGGCACUUGGGCUGUCCUCGGCCCUGGAUUCUGAGAGCUCCCAUCCCCGAGCUGCUUCAUGAGAGGCAAAGGCAGAUUCUCUUCAUUAUGGCAGAGAGGCCAGUGGGCGUCUGAAUUAGUGAACAAUUGCUAUUAGCUAAUAUAUCUUUCUCUCUAAACACAGUUUUAUGUCUUUGGAGUCUGCAUGGCGCACAGAUGGCUCCCUACCAUGGUGUUGCCAAAUAGAGGGCUUGCCAGGCCUGCUCGGUUCAACCAACAAAAGUCACUUCUGUGCACACCAGAGCUGCCCAAGGGCCCAGGAAGAGCAUAAGUCAUUUUCAGAUGAGGCCUCCCUCCAACCACAGCCCCUCCUCCUGCCAACCGAGGUUCUUGUCUACCCAAUCCAUAAAAAAGCAACUGAGGUAGGCAAGAUGUUUUCAGGUGGACAAAUGCUUUUUAUUUUAAUAGCUAUUUUGAAAAAUGAAUUCUGGCAAGCUAUGCUGGUUUUCCAUGCGUGGAAGUUACAUAACAUUUUAAAAAAGCAAAUUUGUUUAAGUCAAAAAUUGCAAGUCAAUUUAAAGAAAAGUGUUAAGGAAGUCAUUGUCAGGUGGUAUUAGGAUUUGGGGAAAAUCGGGGAGGUGGUGUGAAUGUCUGAGAUUUGGGGAGUUUCUUAUAGACUAAAAUGGACCACAAAACACCAGUGUCCCAGGACUGCUGAGGGCAGAUGAGGGCACACAGGUAUGCAUGCAGGCAAAACACUCAUACACAUAAAAUAAAGAUAAAUAGAUC